UCAGUGUCCAGAUAUCACUUUGUAACUGA
rnacentral:sRNA from 1 species